GAAAGUGUUCUGGCUGUGCUCUCCAGCACCCCACACUCCAGAGUGGAUUCAGCUCCUCAGCCCGGCUGGCCAGGUGCCCCUUCCCCGAGUCUUUGUUUCUUGUGCAUCCCUCCUGAAGCUGUGUGUUCAUUUGAAGAGAAUGACCUUAGCGGGAUAAGAAGCCCAUGCUUUUGUUGUUCAAUCAAAUACACAAAUAGCUGUAUACUCCCUGUCUAGAACCUAUAAAGACUAUCUUCUGCUUUGGUUUAACAGGAAUUCAGUAUGUAGAAAUUAUCAAUGUCUCUGAUGAAUUUGUCUUUUAAAAAAAU
rfam:Ailuropoda melanoleuca scaffold257_8, whole genome shotgun sequence.